UGAUGGCAGGCAUCUCUGGGUGGAAGCGA
rnacentral:piRNA from 1 species